GACGAACGCUGGCGGCGUGCCUAAUACAUGCAAGUAGAACGCUGAAGGAGGAGCUUGCUCUUCUGGAAGAGUUGCGAACGGGUGAGUAACGCGUAGGUAACCUGCCUGGUAGCGGGGGAUAACUAUUGGAAACGAUAGCUAAUACCGCAUAAGAUUGAAUAUCGCAUGAUAAUUGAUUAAAAGAUGCAAUUGCAUCACUACCAGAUGGACCUGCGUUGUAUUAGCUAGUAGGUGAGGUAACGGCUCACCUAGGCGACGAUACAUAGCCGACCUGAGAGGGUGAUCGGCCACACUGGGACUGAGACACGGCCCAGACUCCUACGGGAGGCAGCAGUAGGGAAUCUUCGGCAAUGGGGGCAACCCUGACCGAGCAACGCCGCGUGAGUGAAGAAGGUUUUCGGAUCGUAAAGCUCUGUUGUAAGAGAAGAACGAGUGUGAGAGUGGAAAGUUCACACUGUGACG
rnacentral:rRNA from 1 species